rfam:Tetrasphaera jenkinsii Ben 74 genomic scaffold, 1541_scaffold1
GGCUUUCUUCGCGGCGGAGCUCGACCGCCCCUUGAAGUGAUCGUCGCGUUCGUCGACGAGAACCGUGCUGAGUUCGGAGUCGAGUUCAUCUGCAGGCACCUGCAGGUGGCUCCG